AUAGAGGCCUACCAUGGUUUCAACGGGUAACGGAGAAUUAGGGUUCGAUUCCGGAGAGGGAGCCUGAGAAACGGCUACCACAUCCAAGGAAGGCAGCAGGCGCGCAAAUUACCCAAUCCUGACUCAGGGAGGUAGUGACAAUAAAUAACAAUAGUGGGCCAUCAGGUCUGCUAAUUGGAAUGAGUACAAUCUAAACCCCUUAAUGAUGAGCAAUUAGAGGGCAAGUCUGGUGCCAGCAGCCGCGGUAAUUCCAGCUCUAAUAGCGUAUAUUAAAGUUGUUGCGGUUAAAACGCUCGUAGUUGGAUUUUGGGGCUUGGCGUACGGUCCGGUGUAAACCGCGCACUGUACUCUGGGCUCUUCCGUCUGGUGGCAAAAGUGGUGCUUCACUGUGCUACGGAUGCUUUCAGACCUUCACUUUGAACAAAUUAGAGUGUUUAAAGCAGGCAGUCGCCUUGAAUACAUUAGCAUGGAAUGAACAUAUAGGACUUUGGUUCUAUUUUGUUGGUUUUAAGGACCAAAGUAAUGAUUAAUAGGGAUAGUUGGGGGCAUUAAUAUUUAAUUGUCAGAGGUGAAAUUCUUAGAUUUAUGAAAGAUUAACUUCUGCGAAAGCAUUUGCCAAGGAUGUUUUCAUUAAUCAAGAACGAAAGUUAGGGGAUCGAAGACGAUCAGAUACCGUCGUAGUCUUAACCAUAAACUAUGCCGACUAGGGAUUGGAAGAUGUUAUUUUCAUGACUCCUUCAGCACCUUAUGAGAAAUCAAAGUGUUUGGGUUCCGGGGGGAGUAUGGUCGCAAGGCUGAAACUUAAAGGAAUUGACGGAAGGGCACCACCAGGAGUGGAGCCUGCGGCUUAAUUUGACCCAACACGGGAAAACUUACCAGGUCCAGACAUAGUAAGGAUUGACAGAUUGAGAGCUCUUUCUUGAUUCUAUGGGUGGUGGUGCAUGGCCGUUCUUAGUUGGUGGAGUGAUUUGUCUGCUUAAUUGCGAUAACGAACGAGACCUUAACCUGCUAAAUAGUUACGCGAACAUUUUGUUCGUGGCCAACUUCUUAGAGGGACUUUUGCGUGUUUUAACCAAAGGAAGUUUGAGGCAAUAACAGGUCUGUGAUGCCCUUAGAUGUUCUGGGCCGCACGCGCGCUACACUGACUGGUUCAGCAAGUUUAUAACCUUGGCCGGAAGGUCUGGGUAAUCUUUGAAAGCCAGUCGUGAUGGGGAUAGUCCCUUGCAAUUAUGGGACUUGAACGAGGAAUUCCUAGUAAGUGCAAGUCAUCAGCUUGCGUUGAUUACGUCCCUGCCCUUUGUACACACCGCCCGUCGCUCCUACCGAUUGGAUGAUCCGGUGAGGUGUUCGGACUGCGUUUCUUCCAGGGCAACCUGGGUUUUUCGCGGAAAGAUUCCCUAACCUUAUCAUCUAGAGGAAGGAGAAGUCGUAACAACGUU
rnacentral:rRNA from 1 species